AACUUAUUGAAGCCUGACGUGGGCGACUAUAAAUAUAACCAUGGAGUUCGGUCUUUAACUGACUGGACAACACCGCUGAAAUGCUGUGAUCAACUAUUGUUGUACCAGCAGCCCUUUUAUAGGGCCCACAGAUCAAGCCGCGGUGAUCCUACCUAGAGUAUUUAAGUAGGACUAUAAUAUGACCGGUCUCACCUGAGAUGGUUGAGAGAACACGUUCCGUAGGUGAACCUGCGGAAGGAUCAUUACCGAGUUAGGGUCUUAUAGGCCCGACCUCCAACCCUUUGUUUACUACACCAUGUUGCUUUGGCGGACCCGCCUUUUGGGGCCGCCGGGGGUUUACAAGCCCCUGGUCAGUGUCCGCCAGUAGCCUUAUUAAAUUCUUUUAUAAUUAUGUUGUCUGAGUAUAAAUAUAAAUCGUUAAAACUUUCAACAACGGAUCUCUUGGUUCUGGCAUCGAUGAAGAACGCAGCGAAAUGCGAUAAGUAAUGCGAAUUGCAGAAUUCAGUGAGUCAUCGAAUCUUUGAACGCAUAUUGCGCCCUUUGGUAUUCCGGAGGGCAUGCCUGUUCGAGCGUCAUUACAACCCUCAAGCUCUGCUUGGUGACGGGUGCCACCUCUCACGAGGUGCGCCUCAGAAUCAGUGGCGGUGCCAUUCGGCUUCAAGCGUAGUAAUUCUUCUCGCCUUGGAGACCCGGGUGAGUGCUUGCCAGCAACCCCAAAUUUUUUUUAAGGUUGACCUCGGAUCAG
rnacentral:sRNA from 1 species